UUGCGUGCUACCACCACCAACGCACGCCCACCAGCGCAGCCACCACCCUGCUCCACCGUCGCACCACCAGUCUCCGCGACCAGUCGUGUUGCUGCCGCGAAAUCUGCCGCCGGCCAGCCUCCUCUUUCUUUUCUUUGGUGGAGAAUUCUCUUUAGGCGACUUUUAAAAGUGUUAAAGUGACGUAUCAGUUUGUUUACACAAGUCUCUAAGGAUCAAUAAGCAUUGUCCAUCUGCAGGUUUGAAGAUGUUGCAUCAUUGGGAUCGGGAAUAGAGAGCUUGUAUUUAGUUUUGAUUUGCUAAGUUAACUUGGGUUUGUUAAUUGGGACUUUAAACUUGUCGUACUAUUUAUAUUUCCUUAUUUUCGUUGGUUGAUUUUUGGGGACUAAAUCUGUAAUCGAUUAUUUAUAAACCUAAAGUUAGUUUUAUGUUUUCCGCUGCAAAAUUCUGAAUAAGCCGUUACGUUUUCACA